rnacentral:rRNA from 1 species
GAUGAACGCCGGCGGCGUGCCUAAUACAUGCAAGUCGAGCGAACAGACGAGGAGCUUGCUCCUCUGACGUUAGCGGCGGACGGGUGAGUAACACGUGGAUAACCUACCUAUAAGACUGGGAUAACUUCGGGAAACCGGAGCUGAUACCGGAUAAUAUAUUGAACCGCAUGGUUCAAUAGUGAAAGACGGUUUUGCUGUCACUUAUAGAUGGAUCCGCGCCACAUUAGCUAGUUGGUAAGGUAACGGCUUACCAAGGCAACGAUGCGUAGCCGACCUGAGAGGGUGAUCGGCCACACUGGAACUGAGACACGGUCCAGACUCCUACGGGAGGCAGCAGUAGGGAAUCUUCCGCAAUGGGCGAAAGCCUGACGGAGCAACGCCGCGUGAGUGAUGAAGGUCUUCGGAUCGUAAAACUCUGUUAUUAGGGAAGAACAAAUGUGUAAGUAACUAUGCACGUCUUGACGGUACCUAAUCAGAAAGCCACGGCUAACUACGUG